rnacentral:rRNA from 1 species
GACGAACGCUGGCGGCGUGCUUAACACAUGCAAGUCGAACGGUGAAGGGACCAGCUUGCUGGUUCUGGAUGAGUGGCGAACGGGUGAGUAACACGUGAGUAACCUGCCCCCUUCUUCUGGAUAACCGUAUGAAAGUGUGGCUAAUACGGGAUAUUCUGGGUCUGUCGCAUGAUGGGCCCGGGAAAGAUAUUGUUUCGGUGGGGGAUGGGCUCGCGGCCUAUCAGCUUGUUGGUGGGGUGAUGGCCUACCAAGGCGGUGACGGGUAGCCGGCCUGAGAGGGUGGACGGUCACACUGGGACUGAGACACGGCCCAGACUCCUACGGGAGGCAGCAGUGGGGAAUAUUGCACAAUGGGCGCAAGCCUGAUGCACCGCCGCCGCGUGAGGGAUGGAGGCCCUCGGGUUGUAAACCUCUUUCGCCAGUGAAGCAGGCCUGCUCCGUGUCGUGGGUUGACAUAUCUAGACCCCACCAUCCCCUACCCCGUGCACUGUCGCUCCAUCCUUAAGCGUUGUAUUCUCCCGAACCUUCCUUCUAUUCCUCUUUAGCCCUGGU